AGUUAAAUAAGUUAAACAUACAAUUUAAUGAAUAUAAAAGAAAAAUAAGAAUAAAAUAAACUAUAAUUUAUAUAAAUCAUAUUUAAGUGGUUGAAGUUAUAAAAUAAUUUAAAAUUAAAAAAUUUUGAAACGGAAAAAAAAAAGAUAUUUUUGUGCAAAAUGAAUAAAUAAUUUAAAAAAAAAAACCUUGUAGGAUAAAUAUUGUAGUUUUUAAACUAAAAAGAUUAAAAAAAAAAUGAAAAACACCUAAAUGAAAAAGGGUGUUUAGGAGUGGAGUGUGGUGUGUGCAGAGUCGAACUGUUCAUGGUCCUCUAAAAAUUUUCAAAAUUAAAAUUUUAUUUAUAAAUUCUAGUGUAUUUUUAAAAAAAAAAAAAACUGAUAUUUGCCUCUUCAAAUUUUUAAAAUUAAAAUUUUACAUAUUAUUUCUUAAAAAAUUAUCCUGCUAAGCCCAAAGGAAGAAGUGGGUGGUUUAUUCCUCAAGAAUCAAGAAGCCUCCAGAAGGAAUGGAAAUCACCAGCCAACUCAGGAACCAGUUAGUUUGAUUUUCGAAAAACAGGGACCUACUAGUAAUUAUGACAUAAUUUCAGGAGGCAAAUACUUAUUAAUUAUAGAAAGGAAAGGAAAAUGCCAUUGACAAGCUUCCUGCUAGAACUCAGACAUUCAUUAGCGAGGCACAAAGAAAGAAUUGCAGCAAUGCAACUAUGAGUAGUACAAUACCAAACUAUUCACUUCCAAAGAUCGGCUAUCAGCAUUGCAGAAGGGUACAUUUGUAUGCUCAAUUCUAAGAAUGCUGCAAUAUAUGAUACAACUCAAUUAAGUCUUUAUCCCAUAUAUUUGAGGUCGGCUAUAUGGAU
rnacentral:misc_RNA from 1 species